UACGGGGGGGCAAGCGUUGUUCGGAAUUACUGGGCGUAAAGGGCUCGUAGGUGGCCAACUAAGUCAGACGUGAAAUCCCUCGGCUUAACCGGGGAACUGCGUCUGAUACUGGAUGGCUUGAGUUCGGGAGAGGGAUGCGGAAUUCCAGGUGUAGCGGUGAAAUGCGUAGAUAUCUGGAGGAACACCGGUGGCGAAGGCGGGUCUCUGGGCCGAAAUUGACGCUGAGGAGCGAAAGCGUGGGGAGCAAACAGG
rnacentral:rRNA from 1 species